GAUGAACGCUGGCGGCGUGCCUAAUACAUGCAAGUCGAGCGAACAGAUGAGGAGCUUGCUCCUCUGACGUUAGCGGCGGACGGGUGAGUAACACGUGGAUAACCUACCUAUAAGACUGGGAUAACUUCGGGAAACCGGAGCUAAUACCGGAUAAUAUAUUGAACCGCAUGGUUCAAUAGUGAAAGACGGUUUUGCUGUCACUUAUAGAUGGAUCCGCGCCGCAUUAGCUAGUUGGUAAGGUAACGGCUUACCAAGGCAACGAUGCGUAGCCGACCUGAGAGGGUGAUCGGCCACACUGGAACUGAGACGCGGUCCAGACUCCUACGGGAGGCAGCAGUAGGGAAUCUUCCGCAAUGGGCGAAAGCCUGACGGAGCAACGCCGCGUGAGUGAUGAAGGUCUUCGGAUCGUAGAACUCUGUUAUUAGGGAAGAACAAAUGUGUAAGUAACUAUGCACGUCUUGACGGUACCUAAUCAGAAAGCCACGGCUAACUACGUG
rnacentral:rRNA from 1 species